rnacentral:rRNA from 1 species
UACGUAGGCAGCAAGCGUUGUUCGGAAUUACUGGGCGUAAAGCGAGUGUAGGCGGUCUGCCAAGUCUGUUGUGAAAUCUCCUGGCUCAACUGGGAGGGUGCGACGGAAACUGGCAGGCUUGAGUGCGGGAGAGGAGAGUGGAAUUCCUGGUGUAGCGGUGAAAUGCGUAGAUAUCAGGAGGAACACCGGUGGUGAAGACGGCUCUCUGGACCGCAACUGACGC